rnacentral:rRNA from 1 species
GAGUUUGAAAGGGCUCAGAACGAACGCUGGCGGCGUGCCUAACACAUGCAAGUCGAGCGGGGAUACACAGGAUGAGAGCUUCGGCAGGAUUCCGGUGUAUUCUAGCGGCGGACGGGAGAGUAACGCGUGAGCAAUCUGUCUCAGACAGGGGGAUAACGCAGCGAAAGUUGCACUAAUACCGCAUAAGACCACAGCCUCGCAUGGGGCAGGGGUCAAAGGAGCAAUCCGGUCUGAGGUGAGCUCGCGUCCUAUUAGGUAGUUGGUGAGGUAACGGCCCACCAAGCCUGCGAUAGGUAGCCGACCUGAGAGGGUGAUCGGCCACACUGGAACUGAGACACGGUCCAGACUCCUACGGGAGGCAGCAGUGGGGAAUAUUGGGCAAUGGGGGUUUUUUUUUUCCAGCCACCCCGCGUGAGUGAAGAAGGUCCUAUGGAUUGUAAAUCUCUGUCCUAAGAGAAGAGGGGAAGACGGUAUCUUAGGAGGAAGCCCCGGCUAACUACGUGCCAGCAGCCGCGGUAAUACGUAGGGGGCGAGCGUUGUCCGGAAUGAUUGGGCGUAAAGGGCGUGUAGGCGGCUUUGUAAGUCUGGAGUGAAAGUCCCGUUUUUAAGAUGGGAAUUGCUUUGGAUACUGCAGGGCUUGAGUGCAGGAGAGGUUAUCGGAAUUCCCGGUGUAGCGGUGAAAUGCGUAGAGAUCGGGAGGAACACCAGUGGCGAAGGCGGGUAACUGGACUGCAACUGACGCUGAGGCGCGAAAGUGUGGGGAGCAAACAGGAUUAGAUACCCUGGUAGUCCACACUGUAAACGAUGAAUGCUAGGUGUAGGGGGUAUCGACCCCUUCUGUGCCGCAGUAAACACAAUAAGCAUUCCGCCUGGGGAGUACGGCCGCAAGGUUGAAACUCAAAGGAAUUGACGGGGGCCCGCACAAGCAGCGGAGCAUGUGGUUUAAUUCGACGCAACGCGAAGAACCUUACCAGGUCUUGACAUCCAGUAAAACUUGCAGAGAUGCAUCGUGAGCUUGCUCAUACUGAGACAGGUGGUGCAUGCCUGUCGUCAGCUCGUGUCGUGAGAUGUUGGGGGGGGGGGGCAAAACGAACGCAACCCUUGCUGAUAGUUACUAACACGCAAUGGUGAGGACUCUAUCAGGACUGCCGGGGACAACUCGGAGGAAGGUGGGGAUGACGUCAAAUCAUCAUGCCCCUUAUGACCUGGGCUACACACGUGCUACAAUGGCCGUUACAAAGAGGUGCGAAGCCGCAAGGCGGAGCAGAUCUCAAAAAAGCGGUCUCAGUUCGGAUUGUGGGCUGCAACCCGCCCACAUGAAGUCGGAGUUGCUAGUAAUCGCGGAUCAGCAUGCCGCGGUGAAUACGUUCCCGGGCCUUGUACACACCGCCCGUCACACCAUGGGAGUUGAUAGCACCCGAAACUGGUGAGGUAACCGCAAGGAGCCAGCCAGCUAAGGUGAGAUCAAUGACUGGGGUGAAGUCGUAACAAGGUAACCAA